GUGCUCAUUUUGGCAGCACGUAGACUAAAAUUGGAACGAACCAGAGAAGAUUAGCAUGGUCUCUGUGCAAGGAGGACCUGCAAAACUCCUAAGUAUAUAGUUAAAUGU
ensembl:snRNA U6 U6 spliceosomal RNA